rnacentral:tRNA from 1 species
GGGCCUGUAGCUUAGCCUGGUAGAGCACGCGUCUUAUAUGACGAUGCCAGGUGCAUUAGUAAGCUAAGAGCACGCGUGGUCGGCGGUUCAAAUCCGCUCAGGCCCA